rnacentral:rRNA from 1 species
GUCAAUGGCCAUGCCACCCUGAAGGUGCCCAAUCUUGUCUGAUCUUGGAAGCUAAGCAGGGUCGAGCCUGGCUAGUACUUGGAUGGGAGACCACCUAGAAAGACCAGGUGCUAUAGGUG